UUUUUUUUCAGGCAAGAGAACACAUGACAUGGAGGAGUAUAAUUUCAGCCAAUCUUCCCUGGAGCAGGUGUUCCUUGAGUUUGCUAAACGUCAGUUGGAUGAAAACGCCACUGCACACGAGCGAGAGAAUGAAACAAAUGAACUCACACAAUCCAUACGGCGACGUACGACGUCCAAGGAGGCCAAUGGAGAGAGUCCGUCACAUACCACUAUUUCUGUUCCGUUAUAGUGGUCAAGGAAUCCAAGUAAUCAUGUACUUUUGUUGUAUUGAACUGGUAUAUUAAUUGUUAUGGUUUAUAUACUGUAGCCUAAUGCUUUUUAAAAGCGAAUCAGAAAUAUUAAAAAGAACAUUCCCUGGUGGUGUCAUUUAGGUGCUUUGAAACCUGAAUCAGUUGGAAUGCUUUAAUAGUGCUGAUAUAAAAUUGUUUUUUAUUUAUAAAGCCAUCAUUUUUAAAUCCUACUUUUAUCAUUGAUAUGUGAUACAUGUACAUAAAUAUUAUAUUGAUUUCCAUCCAUUGGGUGUAUUCUUGAAUUAUUAUUUUUAUCGUAUUAUUUAUGUUGAUGACAAAGUGUGAUUUUUUUCUAGAGAAAUAGUUUAAUGAAUUUUAUCAGAAUGUUAUGCAUGUAUUCUUGAAAUCCAGUAGCAUUUAUAUUUGUGGAUAUAAACCUAAAGCCAUACAGAACAAGUUUACAGAAAUUAAAAUUGUAUUAAUUGUAUAUAUUUAUGACCUAUUUCCAUUAUCUGACGGAAUAUUAAUUUUGUCAAUUGACAUCAUUAUUAAUGCAUCCAUAAAAAUUUUAAACAAAUUUCACAAUCAAACAAAAUUUUCAAUGUGGAGUGAUUUAAUUCGUCAAGGUAUUUAUUGGAAUGAGUUUUAAUUUACCCUAGAAUGAAAUUAUGAUAGUGUCAAUGUUGUUUGAAAAUGGAAAAAAUAAAUC